GAUGAACGCUGGCGGCGUGCUUAACACAUGCAAGUCAAACGAAGCUCCUAAACCUGAGAUUCGUCAAGGGGGAAGGAUGACUUAGUGGCGGACGGGUGAGUAAUGCGUGAGCAACCUGCCCUUCAGAGGGGGACAACAGCUGGAAACGGCUGCUAAUACCGCAUAACGUAUACGGAAGGCAUCUUCUGUAUACCAAAGAUUUUAUCGCUGAAGGAUGGGCUCACGUCUGAUUAGCUAGUUGGUGAGGUAAUGGCUCACCAAGGCUGCGAUCAGUAGCCGGACUGAGAGGUUGGCCGGCCACAUUGGGACUGAGAUACGGCCCAGACUCCUACGGGAGGCAGCAGUGGGGAAUAUUGCACAAUGGGCGCAAGCCUGAUGCAGCGACGCCGCGUGAGGGAUGACGGCCUUCGGGUCGUAAACCUCUUUCAGCACCGACGAAGCGCAAGUGACGGUAGGUGCAGAAGAAGGACCGGCCAACUACGUGCCAGCCGCCGCCGUAAGAC
rnacentral:rRNA from 1 species